ensembl:snoRNA predicted gene, 24318
ACUGGUCCCUAGAGGCAUUGCAGGAGUGGAUACUGUGUCAUGUGUGCAUCAGUAGGUGAUAGAGAGGUCAGAGGCUAUGUCUACACUCAGUGUUCUCACCUGUGGACAUCUGAAUGAUUAGUAGUAUGAUGUU